rnacentral:lncRNA from 1 species
GUUCUUAAUUCCACCAAAUUUUUUAUCACUAAUUAUAUGUAAUAAUUUUGUAGCAGAGAAACCAUAAAUUAAUUCUCCUCCACAUACAAUUUAAUACAUCUCUGCUGCAAAAUGCAUUUAACUUUAUAAAAUCCCAAAAAGAAAAAAACAAUUUGAAUUAACAUUCUAAAAUAACACAAAAUUAACGGACCAUAAUAAUGAAUUGAUUCAGUUCUCCUCCCAAGUUUCAGGGGUAUAGUACUCAUUCAAAUCGGGUUUCUCGAAAUCCUGCCCGGGUUAUAGGAAACAGGGCGUGGGCGGUCCGCCGCUUGCAGUGUGUCAACCCUAGCACCAACCUUCGUGGCCUU